UACGGAGGAUGCGAGCGUUAUCCGGAUUUAUUGGGUUUAAAGGGUGCGUAGGCGGACGCUUAAGUCAGCGGUAAAAUUGCGGGGCUCAACCUCGUCGAGCCGUUGAAACUGGGUGCCUUGAGUGGGCGAGAAGUACGCGGAAUGCGUGGUGUAGCGGUGAAAUGCAUAGAUAUCACGCAGAACUCCGAUUGCGAAGGCAGCGUACCGGCGCCCAACUGACGCUGAGGCACGAAGGCGUGGGUAUCGAACAGG
rnacentral:rRNA from 1 species